GUGGGGAAUAUUGGACAAUGGGCGCAAGCCUGAUCCAGCCAUGCCGCGUGAGUGAUGAAGGCCUUAGGGUUGUAAAGCUCUUUCGUCAGGGAAGAUAAUGACGGUACCUGAAGAAGAAGCCCCGGCUAACUUCGUGCCAGCAGCCGCGGUAAUACGGAGGGGGCUAGCGUUGUUCGGAAUUACUGGGCGUAAAGCGCACGUAGGCGGACUGGAAAGUCAGGGGUGAAAUCCCGGGGCUCAACCCCGGAACUGCCUUUGAAACUCCCAGUCUUGAGUUCGAGAGAGGUGAGUGGAAUUCCGAGUGUAGAGGUGAAAUUCGUAGAUAUUCGGAGGAACACCAGUGGCGAAGGCGGCUCACUGGCUCGAUACUGACGCUGAGGUGCGAAAGCGUGGGGAGCAAACAGGAUUAGAAACCCUAGUAGUCC
rnacentral:rRNA from 1 species